rnacentral:rRNA from 1 species
ACGGCCUUCGGGUUGUAAACCUCUUUCAGUAGGGAAGAAGCGAAAGUGACGGUACCUGCAGAAGAAGCGCCGGCUAACUACGUGCCAGCAGCCGCGGUAAUACGUAGGGCGCAAGCGUUAUCCGGAAUUAUUGGGCGUAAAGAGCUCGUAGGCGGUUUGUCGCGUCUGCCGUGAAAGUCCGGGGCUCAACUCCGGAUCUGCGGUGGGUACGGGCAGGCUAGAGUGAUGUAGGGGAGACUGGAAUUCCUGGUGUAGCGGUGAAAUGCGCAGAUAUCAGGAGGAACACCGAUGGCGAAGGCAGGUCUCUGGGCAUUAACUGACGCUGAGGAGCGAAAGCAUGGGGAGCGAACAGGAUUAGAUACCCUGGUAGUCCAUGCCGUAAACGUUGGGCACUAGGUGUGGGGGACAUUCCACGUUUUCCGCGCCGUAGCUAACGCAUUAAGUGCCCCGCCUGGGGAGUACGGCCGCAAGGCUAAAACUCAAAGGAAUUGACGGGGGCCCGCACAAGCGGCGGAGCAUGCGGAUUAAUUCGAUGCAACGCGAAGAACCUUACCAAGGCUUGACAUGGACCGGACCGCCGCAGAGAUGUGGUUUCUCCUUUUGGGGCCGGUUCACAGGUGGUGCAUGGUUGUCGUCAGCUCGUGUCGUGAGAUGUUGGGUUAAGUCCCGCAACGAGCGCAACCCUCGUUCCAUGUUGCCAGCGCG